AUAAGUAGAGAACAAGGGAAGAAGAGGAGAAGAAGAAGAAGAAGAGGAGGAGGAGGAGAAGAGAAGAAGAAGAAGGAGAAGAGAGGGAAGAGGGAGAGGAGAGGGAGGAAGCUGCAGCAGCUAAGGCUGCAGCACCUUUGUUUCCUGCAGGAGGAAACAGAUGAGAGGAGGUGUGGGGCGUCGGGAAGAAGAAGAAGAAGAAGAAGAAGAAGAAGAAGAAGAAGAAGAAGAAGAAGAAGAAGAAGAAGAAGAAGAAGAAGAAGAAGAAGAAGAGGGAGAAAAGGAGAAAAGAAGAAGGAGAAGAGAGGGAGGUAGCUGCAACAGGGCUGCAUCACCUCUGUUUCCCGCAGGAGGAAACAGAGGAGAGAAGGUGUGGGGCGUCGGGGAGGAGAAGGGAAGAAGAAGAAGAAGAAUAAGAAGAAGAAGAGAAGAAGAAUAAGAGAGAGGAAGGGGAGCUGUGGCAGCUGCAUUUGAGAAAGAAAAGAAAGGAAUGAGAGUUGGGAGAAAGGAAUCAGUGCAGUGAAAAGGGCUGCGGCGGUGGCUGCUACGACCGUGGCUCCAGCUGCAACAAUGGCUGAGGCUACAGAAGACGAAACAUGGAGAGGAGAUGGAGGAAAAGUAGAAGAAGGAUUCAAGCUUACAUCUUCUUUUCGAAAGGUUAGCUUGUCACUCACUGAGACGUUUGAAUUGGACCGAGGCAGUGGAGAGCUAUUCAGAUUUUGGGCAAGUCUUAUUGGUUAUUAUGUGGUUGUUAUAUAAACAUGUUUUGUAUAUAAUGAAUUGUUAUCGACAGAUUUGAAAUUGAUAUAUCGUGUAAACAUGUUAAAAGACCUCUCU